UGGGGAAUCUUGCGCAAUGGGCGAAAGCCUGACGCAGCGACGCCGCGUGCGGGAAGAAGGCCUUAGGGUUGUAAACCGCUUUCAGGAGGGACGAAGCCACUCGGGUGAAUAGCCCAGAGGGUGACGGUACCUCCAGAAGAAGCCCCGGCUAACUACGUGCCAGCAGCCGCGGUAAUACGUAGGGGGCAAGCGUUGUCCGGAUUCAUUGGGCGUAAAGAGCGUGUAGGCGGCCAGGUAGGUCGGUUGUGAAAACUGGAGGCUCAACCUUCAGACGUCGACCGAAACCCCCUGGCUAGAGUCCGGGAGAGGAGAGUGGAAUUCCUGGUGUAGCGGUGGAAUGCGCAGAUAUCAGGAAGAACACCCGUGGCGAAAGCGGCUCUCUGGAACGGUACUGACGCUGAGACGCGAAAGCGUGGGGAGCGAACAGG
rnacentral:rRNA from 1 species